GAAAGUCGUAUGCAAUGAAAAGUGCAAGUACGACUUGGGAAGGGGAUUUUCCUUAUUUAUUUAAGGGUAAUUAGCACAAAACAUCCCUACUUUUC
rnacentral:ncRNA from 1 species